AGUGAACGCUGGCGGUAGGCCUAACACAUGCAAGUCGAACGGCAGCACAGUAAGAGCUUGCUCUUACGGGUGGCGAGUGACGGACGGGUGAGGAAUACAUCGGAAUCUACUUUUUCGUGGGGGAUAACGUAGGGAAACUUACGCUAAUACCGCAUACGACCUACGGGUGAAAGCAGGGGAUCUUCGGACCUUGCGCGAUUGAAUGAGCCGAUGUCGGAUUAGCUAGUUGGCGGGGUAAAGGCCCACCAAGGCGACGAUCCGUAGCUGGUCUGAGAGGAUGAUCAGCCACACUGGAACUGAGACACGGUCCAGAGUCCUACGGGAGGCAGCAGUGGGGAAUAUUGGACAAUGGGCGCAAGCCUGAUCCAGCCAUACCGCGUGGGUGAAGAAGGCCUUCGGGUUGUAAAGCCCUUUUGUUGGGAAAGAAAAGCAGCAGGUUAAUACCCCGCUGUUCUGACGGUACCCAAAGAAUAAGCACCGGCUAACUUCGUG
rnacentral:rRNA from 1 species